GCACCCGUAGCUCAGUUGGAUAGAGUGACGGCCUCCGAAGCCGUAGGUCACAGGUUCGAAUCCUGUCGGGUGCACCA
rnacentral:tRNA from 1 species